rnacentral:rRNA from 1 species
UACGUAGGGGGCUAGCGUUGUCCGGAAUCAUUGGGCGUAAAGCGCGUGUAGGCGGCCCGGUAAGUCCGCUGUGAAAGUCGGGGGCUCAACCCUCGAAAGCCGGUGGAUACUGUCGGGCUCGAGUACGGAAGAGGCGAGUGGAAUUCCUGGUGUAGCGGUGAAAUGCGCAGAUAUCAGGAGGAACACCAAUUGCGAAGGCAGCUCGCUGGGACGUAACUGACGCUGAGACGCGAAAGCGUGGGGAGCAAACAGG